rnacentral:rRNA from 1 species
AGCGGCGGACGGGUGAGUAAUGCUUGGGAAUAUGCCUUAUGGUGGGGGACAACAGUUGGAAACGACUGCUAAUACCGCAUGAUGUCUACGGACCAAAGUGGGGGACCUUCGGGCCUCACGCCAUAAGAUUAGCCCAAGUGGGAUUAGCUAGUUGGUGAGGUAAUGGCUCACCAAGGCGACGAUCCCUAGCUGGUUUGAGAGGAUGAUCAGCCACACUGGGACUGAGACACGGCCCAGACUCCUACGGGAGGCAGCAGUGGGGAAUAUUGCACAAUGGGCGCAAGCCUGAUGCAGCCAUGCCGCGUGUGUGAAGAAGGCCUUCGGGUUGUAAAGCACUUUCAGUAAGGAGGAAAGGUUAAGUGUUAAUAGCACUUAGCUGUGACGUUACUUACAGAAGAAGCACCGGCUAACUCCGUGCCAGCAGCCGCGGUAAUACGGAGGGUGCGAGCGUUAAUCGGAAUUACUGGGCGUAAAGCGUACGCAGGCGGUUUGUUAAGCGAGAUGUGAAAGCCCCGGGCUCAACCUGGGAACUGCAUUUCGAACUGGCAAACUAGAGUGUGAUAGAGGGUGGUAGAAUUUCAGGUGUAGCGGUGAAAUGCGUAGAGAUCUGAGGGAAUACCGAUGGCGAAUGCAGCCACCUGGGUCAACACUGACGCUCAUGUACGAAAGCGUGGGGGAGCACAC